CGGGAUGCUCCUUAAGCCCCUUCUCCGGCUGUUAACCUCCGGGGAACGGUUGUGACCACACCGACACGUAUUUUACAGAUAAAUCAUUCUUGCGGCGGCGGGUCGAACACGUUUAUUUAUUUUUUAUUUUCUCAACAAGCUUUUACCCAGCACCUGUCCAGUGAAACAACUUGAUAAUCGUUUCGAGGGGCGUCCGCCGGGUUAGGAAGCCACUGCCUGGCAGCUUGUGGAAGCCUCAUUUGCAAAGCCACCCCUCAGAUGUUUUGAAGAUCGUGACGUCUUGUAACUAGCAGUGUGUGCACAGAAUCCUACUCAAGGAACGUCUUGGCCCAGCGAUGCAAAGAACUGAAGUUUCAAGGUUUUAUGUCUAUUGCUGGAUGGUCGGGGUAGCCCCAGUAACUGGGAACUGCUCCGCAGUCCGCUCACGUGGACCCCUGUGGGAAUAGCAAGCUGGAAGAGCCUGUAUUGUCCUCACAAUAGUAUAGAAGAAUUCAAGAGAGGAGAGAGAGACAGCACCGAAUGAAGACUGUAAAAGAAAAGAAGGAAUGCCAGAGAUUGAGAAAAUCUGCCAAGACUAGGAGGGUAACCCAGAGGAAACCGUCUUCAGGGCCUGUUUGCUGGCUAUGCCUUCGAGAACCUGGGGAUCCCGAAAAAUUAGGGGAAUUUCUUCAGAAAGACAAUAUCAGCGUGCAUUAUUUCUGUCUUGUGAGUAUGAGGCCUCCUUUGCUUUGAAUAUCCUAUGGCUUUUGGUGUACUGACUGUUCUCUGUUACAUUCAUCCUCAUAUCCACAGCCUUGUUUUUUUAUUUUUCUUAAUAGCUUUUUUGUUUUAAAAUCUAUUUUUAGGCUGGGUGCAGUGGCUCACGCCUGUAAUCCCAGCACUCUGGGAGGCCGAGGCAGGAGGAUCUCUUGAACCCAGGAGUUCAAGACCAGCCUGGGCAACCUUGUCUCUACAAAAAAAUU
rnacentral:lncRNA from 10 species